rnacentral:rRNA from 1 species
AGAGUUUGAUCAUGGCUCAGGAUGAACGCUAGCGGGAGGCUUAACACAUGCAAGUCGAGGGGUAAGGAGAUAGCAAUAUUUCCCUAGACCGGCGCACGGGUGAGUAACGCGUAUGCAACCUGCCCUUUACAGGGGGAUAGCCCGGAGAAAUCCGGAUUAAUACCCCAUGGACCUGCAGUCUCGCAUGAGACAACAGGUAAAGCUGAGGCGGUAAAGGAUGGGCAUGCGUGACAUUAGCUAGUUGGCGGGGUAACGGCCCACCAAGGCUACGAUGUCUAGGGGUUCUGAGAGGAAGGUCCCCCACACUGGUACUGAGACACGGACCAGACUCCUACGGGAGGCAGCAGUGAGGAAUAUUGGUCAAUGGGCGCGAGCCUGAACCAGCCAUCCCGCGUGCAGGAAGAAGGCCCUAUGGGUUGUAAACUGCUUUUGUGCAGGAAUAAAUGUACCCUCGUGAGGGUAUUUGAAGGUACUGCCAGAAUAAGCACCGGCUAACUCCGUGCCAGCAGCCGCGGUAAUACGGAGGGUGCAAGCGUUAUCCGGAUUUAUUGGGUUUAAAGGGUGCGUAGGCGGUAUUUUAAGUCAGUGGUGAAAACUUGCAGCUUAACUGUAAGACUGCCAUUGAAACUGAAGUACUUGAGUUAUCUUGAGGUAGGCGGAAUGUGUAGUGUAGCGGUGAAAUGCUUAGAUAUUACACAGAACACCGAUUGCGAAGGCAGCUUACUAAGGAUACACUGACGCUCACGCACGAAAGCGUGGGGAUCGAACAGGAUUAGAUACCCUGGUAGUCCACGCCGUAAACGAUAAUAACUCGCUGUUGGCGAUGCACAGUCAGCGGCCUAGCGAAAGCGUUAAGUUAUCCACCUGGGGAGUACGCUCGCAAGAGUGAAACUUAAAUGAAUUGACGG